CUGUUCUUUUGGCUGAAACCGUUAUUCCCUUGGAUUCUUCUCAGGAUAGGUCUACGAAUGAGGAGGAAGAUGUUCCUGGUCCCGACGAUUGCAUACUGCAGGGUAGAUUGAAAAACUCAGAGACACUGGAUAUUUUGGGCAGCAUUCUCACUCAUCUACCCGUUGAUAGGCGGGAAGAGAUGGUUGGUCUGAUUCAGAGAUUUCCAGGAUGCCGGUGGGCGGAGUUGGGAGGGUCGUCAGCUACAUGGAAAACACCUGGGCCCACUCUCCCAGAAUAAAAUCACCACUUCCCCAUUCAACCGGGAGACUCUCUCCUUGUAGACACCUUGUUAGAUUCGGUUAUGUUUCAUGGUGUUUUUGUUUGUUUGUUUUAGCAUCUUUCAACACCGUGCACUAUCACCUUCAUGCAUGCAAAACAUUCAAUUACACUACUGAUUACUGAUUACACACCCCAUGGUAUAUUAUACCUAGUUUCGUUAGUUAAAUAAAUAUAUUUUGGUUACUCCUUA